GGCAAAACGUCCGCCCGGGCCCGAGGCGGGCGGAGGCAGCUGUGGUUACGUGCGGGGGGCCGGUGACGCAGUCGCGGGGCGCUGGGACGCGGCUUGCGGAGCCGGCCGGCGAGCGCAGGCCCCAGGCUCGGGCGCGGCGGCGGGACAGCACCUACCUUCCCGGCUUCGGGUCCGGGAGUGCGGGGCGCGGAGCCGCCGGAGCGCUGCCUCCCUCCUUCCUCCUCCCCUCGCCCCCGCCCCGCGGCGCGACACACAAUACUCGCCGGAAGCGGAAGCCGCGCCGAGGCUCGUGUCAGUGGAAGCUGGGGUGUCGGCGGGCGGCCGCGGCCGGGUCUAGCGGUGCCUGCGGAAGAAGGAGGAGGAGGGCUGGCGAUGAGAAGCAGCAGGGGGAAUCAAGGGCAAGAAGGGACCCAGAGGGGCAGGUGGCUGAGAUGCUGGCGUCCAGGUGACCCGAGGAAUCCUCUGGAGAUACAGGCCCGCGCAUGCGCGUGCUCGAGCGCUGAAGCCCAUUGCCCGCAGGGCGCUGGACUGGCGCCCCGGCCGGCGAGGCUGUCUAGUCCAGGCUCCAGGCCCCGGCUCUGGCCAGGCGCCGCCGCCUCCCGGUGCAGCUGAAAGUCGACGAAGAGGGCGGGGCGGGGGCGGCUUGUGGACUUCCACACUUUUCCUCUCUUCGGGCCAGUCUGGGGAGAGGGUGGCUAGCUGUGGCGGCGGCCAAUUACGUGGCGGACCUGCGGGGCUAAGCUGGCACGUCACUUCCGACUAGUGGAGUUUUUAGCCUUUUAACAUUCAAGGAUUAGAGCUCCCUCUUUGCCCACUAGCAGGGCAUUAGCUGGUGCUGAAGACAGUGGCUGCUUGGCGAGCCUGGAUCUCCAAGUGACCCCCUCAGCAACUCCUGAUGAACAGGACUGAAGCCAAUAUUAAAGCAAGUCAACCAAAGGUUCUCUGGUGUAGACAAGACAGCAAAAGGACAGACUACCUUGUGGAACCUAGCAUUGUUCUCCUUCUGCAGCACUAAGUAACAUUUGUUCUCCGUUAAGAUCUUUGCAAACCACACACAAGAAUUGCUGGUCAUCCUGCCAAUAGAUGCUGCUCACAGAACCAAAUUUCCUGUGCUGAAUUGUCACUCAUGGGCUUGAGAGUAGGAGACUGGAGACCAAGGUGGCUAGAAUCCAGUUGGGCCUGAUGUCUCCCUGUUGAAAGGGCUCCUUGUGGAAUGAAUAGCACAUGGCUCCUGUGGUGGAUCUGAUAGUGGCAUAGCACCAAGUGAUGCAGGCCUGCCAGGGGCCACAGACACAGAAGAUGCUCCCGGGGUCCCCCAUGUACUCCAGACACACUGCAGGCCACCUCUCCCAGCAGGUUGCCAGUCAUGGGCCCCAUCAUCAUGACUUCUGUCCAAGGUGUGCUCGGAAAUCUCUUCCUUAACUGUGACUUUCUGACAGGUGGAGGAUGUGGUCAGGAGUGGGAAAAGGAUUCGAGACGGGAAGAGGGAGGGGUUCAGGAUGAAGAGAGAUAAUCUGUGCCACAGAUGCUGGCCCUGCAGUUAGCUCCCACCUAGUCCGUGCACACACAUUCUAAUCCCCUCCCAUUCCUUUACAUGCUGCGGCCAGAGAGGCCUUUCUCAAAGUGGAAGUCUCAUCCUCACUUCUCUGGUUACAGUGCUGGGCCAUGGUAACUUACAAGGCUUAGCAGGAACUGUCUGCGCACUCCCCCUUCCUGCCCACUACCUUGUUUCCCUCCAGUUGCGAGAGAAAACAUUGAUUGAGCAUUAACUAUGUGCCAGGCUUGUCCUAAGUCCUUUGCAUGUAUUCACUCAAACAAUCCUCACAACAUUCCUAUCACAUCUCCCAUUUCACAGUGAGGGUUCUAAAGCACGUAGUGGGUGAGGAACUUGUCCAGGGUCACACAACUAAGUGGGGGUGGAGAAACAUCAAAUCUAGGUGGUCCAGGUGGUGGCCAGAACCCAUCAGCACCUCACUACAGCUGCCUCCAGUUUCUCGCUCUAGGAAAUACUCUUCCCUGUCAACUCCUGUUGUCCUCUGGGCUCAGUUGACAUGUCAUCUCCUUGAGGAGGACAUCCUGAGAUGCUCCCCGACUAGGGUGGGCACCCACUUCCACACUCCAAAUGCCUAUUUGACCUGUGUAUCGCUGCAUCCCCACUGCCUGGCAGAUAGCAGGCCCCUAAUAAAUAUGAUUUGAGCAAAUAAAUAUAGUUCUUCAAAAAAUAGGGAGGACUUCUUGCUUCAGGUAAUGGUAGGCUAGGACAUUUGGACCAACCCUCCUGCAGAAAAUAGCCAUUUAUUUUGAUGCAAUAUAUCUGGCUAUGACUAGAGAUUUCAAAUAUUUGGAGGGCUAUUAUGUGAAGAACUAAACUUACUCUUUGUGACAUAGAGGUCAGAAAUUGGUCGUUUCCAUAGAGUAUGAGAGAGACAGAAUUGUGCUCAUCAUAAGUAUCUUUUUUAAAAGUUAGACUUAAUAAAAUGGGCUGCCUUGGUAGGUGGUGAGUUCUCUGUCACGAAAGAGAUUCAGCCACUUGCUCUGAGAAAGCAUGGAGAAUAUCAACAUUGUAAGGGUCGACCACCUCAUCUCUGAGGCCCCCUCCUCACUUAGGUUGCCAUUGCAGGUGGAACACUGGGCUGAGUGUCAAAGAACCUGGGUUCCACAAACUGUGCGACCAUGGCUGGUUGUUUUGGAUCUCAUUCCUAAUAUCUGUUAGUUAAGCUGACCCGUCAAUACUGACCCACUUCACAGAGUUAUGAAGGGAUUAAAUUAGGUAUUACAUGUAAAUCUGUUUUGUUUGCUUUUUGUUGUUCUUUUUUGUUUUGCUUUUUUCUUUGCAUUAUGAAAUCCCAAGUCAACUUUUUCCAUUCUUUUAUUUUUUUAAAAAUUGACAUCAUCAUUAUAACCACAAAAUAAUUUUUAAAAUGGAAAAAAAAAACUCACCUGCAACCCCACAAUCUAAUACAAUAAUCAUACUUUUUUCCCUUUAUUCUCCUUUAUUGUGACCAAGGAUGACUUUGGGCAUUGCUGUGAGGAACUAUUUCGUUUAACACCCUACUACCUGAACAUGAUGCGUACUCAGCCUUUCACCACCCCCCAAGUAGCUACACAUGAUGUGAUAAUAGUAUUGGUGGUGGUUUUAGAGAGUUGGAGAGAAAACUGAAGUUGGAUUUGGGUAAAAGAAAAAAGAGUGGGAAUUAUUUUUUCUCCAUUCUAAAGCCCAUAAAGCAAUGUUAAUUGUUCCCACCCCUCUGCUAUUCUGUCUCCUCAGGUACUGUGUGCAGAAAUGUGAUUGAGAUUCAAGUCAGGGCCUCUCUGCCCUUUUCCCUCCAGAAACAAAACCAAGAUAAUUUAUCCUGAACACGGUGAAAAAAGGAAGGGAGGGAGGAGAAAAAGUCCGGGUCUCACCUGGGAUUCUCUGUCUCCUGCAACAUGAAGGAUUUAGCCUGGGAGGAGGUGGUGAGAACUCUGGGAGAGAAAAAAGAAGGAAAGAAUAGUUUUACCCAUGCUGAAGUUAAUUUAAACCUUCACCUAGAGAAGCAAAAAAAAAAAACCCACACUUUCCCAUUUUGUGCCUCCCUUCCUAGAGUUUUAGCCAAAGGUUUAGCUAAGUAAUUGGUUUUACCAGCGCACUCACUCCUCCUAUCCCAAGUCUGUUUGACUCCCUCCCCAUCAUCCUCCUCACCUCUUUUCAGGCAGGGUGGGGAUAGCAGCAGGAGGAGAUUUUGGGAGCCUGGCAACUCCUGCAAGGACCGCAGGACAGCCCCUCUGUGGGGAUGCGUGGUGCCCCAUCUGCCGCCCUUCUGAAGAAUGCACUGCCUUCACUUUUUACUGUGUUAGAGUCCAUCCAGACUGUUCUAUCCAAAAAAGUUUCUUUUUCCCCCACAGGCAAUCAGGAAAUGAUUCCUUUCCCGACUGCUUCUGUCUAGUGCCUGGGAAUCUUGAGUCAAUCCCUCAGUAAGUCAGUGACUAGGGAAAUCCCUCUCUGAGCCUCCCAGUUCAUGUUGCUUAGGGAACCUGAUAUUUUCGUGAAACCUGCCUACACAUGGGCAGCCCAACAGCAGAACAAAUGGUGGUGACCAAAGUGAACAAAGAAGUAUAGUUGUGCCAGCUUCGUAGUUGCCCAUGUGGACAAGUCAGCAGGAUCAGGACACGAGGAAGAGUAAAUGUGAGACAGUCAAUGUGACUUCUGCGAUAAACAGAUUUUUAAACCCCGAAAUUUUGCAAAAUUUUGGUGAAACCUGAACUUUCUUCGUUGCAUAUACUGGCACUAUCUGUACCAUCAUACAACUGUCUCACAUUAAAGCUAUUUUUCUUGGGCACUGAUGAGUAAGGUUGGUAUAAGUUCCUCAGAUCAACAAAAACCCAUUUUCCUGUAAGUCUUACAUUUAGUAUUUAAGGAACUAAAACUUAAAUACAUUUUGUGAAAUGGUUGACACUUCACUGAUAAUGAUUUAUUGCUUGGAUUAAUAAAUUUUCCAAAAGUUGUCUUAUGUAGAAUAUGGUUUGCAACCAGCAGAACCAUUAAUCUAUACUGCAAUGAUAUGCACUAUGUAUAAUUGUUUAAAAGCCUCUACUUAAUGAUGUAAAAUGCUCUAUUUAAUUACACAUUUGGGUAAACUGUAUACUAACAUCUGAUGGCAUUUUUCCACUGUUUGUUGCUUUUUUCAAAUACUUUAUUGUACAAAGCUGUUCUUAAUAUUUUUCAAGUUUUUUUCUUUGAAUUUUGCUAAUGUUUUCCUUGAAUUAUGAGCACUGACAGAAUGUGCUUAGCACUUUUGGCUAUUCACACAGCUUUUGAGCAUGAUUUGCAUCCAAUAUUUACAUUGCUAGCAAUAAUAAGCCAUCUGUGAGUUUUGUCAAAA
ensembl:lncRNA HCG18 HLA complex group 18